rnacentral:rRNA from 1 species
AUUGAACGCUGGCGGCAGGCUUAACACAUGCAAGUCGAGCGAGCGGCGGACGGGUGAGUAAUGUCUGGGAAACUGCCUGAUGGAGGGGGAUAACUACUGGAAACGGUAGCUAAUACCGCAUACCCUCAGAUGUGCCCAGAUGGGAUUAGCUAGUAGGUGGGGUAAUGGCUCCCCUAGGCGACGAUCCCUAGCUGGUCUGAGAGGAUGACCAGCCAAACGGGAACUGAGCCACGGCCCCGACUCCUACGGGAGGCAGCAGUGGGGAAUAUUGCACAAUGGGCGAAAGCCGGAUGCAGCCAGGCCGCGUGUGGGAAGAAGGCCUUCGGGUUGUAAAGCACGUUCAGCGAGGAGGCGUUACUCGCAGAAGAAGCAACGGCUAACUCCGUGCCAGCAGCCGCGGUAAUUC